rnacentral:rRNA from 1 species
GACGAACGCUGGCGGCGUGCUUAACACAUGCAAGUCGAACGGAAAGGCCCUGCUUUUGUGGGGUGCUCGAGUGGCGAACGGGUGAGUAACACGUGAGUAACCUGCCCUUGACUUUGGGAUAACUUCAGGAAACUGGGGCUAAUACCGGAUAGGAGCUCCUGCUGCAUGGUGGGGGUUGGAAAGUUUCGGCGGUUGGGGAUGGACUCGCGGCUUAUCAGCUUGUUGGUUGGGUAGUGGCUUACCAAGGCUUUGACGGGUAGCCGGCCUGAGAGGGUGACCGGCCACAUUGGGACUGGGAUACGGCCCAGACUACUACGGGAGGCAGCAGUGGGGAAUAUUGCACAAUGGGCGGAAGCCUGAUGCAGCAACGCCGCGUGCGGGAUGACGGCCUUCGGGUUGUAAACCGCUUUCGCCUGUGACGAAGCGUGAGUGACGGUAAUGGGUAAAGAAGCACCGGCUAACUACGUG